GACGAACGCUGGCGGCGUGCUUAACACAUGCAAGUCGAACGGAAAGGCCCUAUUAGCGGUACUUGAGUGGCGAACGGGGGCGUAACACGUGAGUAACCUGCCCUAUCCUUCGGGUUAACUUCAGGAAAGUGGGGCUAAUACCGGUUAUGAAUCCUUGCUGCUUCGGGUGAGUUCAAAAGCUUCGGCUGUGUUGGACGAACUCGCGACUUAUCAGCGUGUUGGCGGGGUAGUGGGUUAACAAGGCUUCGACGGGUAGCGGGACAGCGAGAGCGACCGGCCGUACUGGGACUGAGAUGCGGCACAGAUUGGGACGGGCGGCAGCAGUGGGGAAUAUUGCACAAUGGGCAGAGGCUUGAUGCAGCAGCGCCGCGUGCGGGAUGGCGGCUUUCGUGUUGUAGACCGCUAUCAGCAGGAGCGAAGCUUGUGGUGACGGUACCUGCAGAAUAAGCACCGGCUAACUACGUG
rnacentral:rRNA from 1 species